UGCAAUUCUUUUUUCUAUUUGUCUUCCAGCGAUUUGUGGUGGUUUUAAUCUUCUGUUUUGUUAUGUUAAUUUUAAGGUGUUUUGUUGGUGUACAAGCAGAAUUUGUCGAAAUAUACCAAUAGUCAAAAACAAUACCUACUAUGAGUGGUGGAAUAUUCAUGUGGACCUGACUUCACGGACAAUUAAUUUCCCUAGUAAGGAUAUCUCAUUUAUGAAAACAGUCAAGGGCGGAAAUAUACCAUCAGAGAGAAGUAAUACCUACAUAUGAGUGGUCCAAUAUUCAUGAGGAGGAAUUUUGCCUGACUUUGUGGACAAUUGAUCUCCCCAAGGAUAACACAUUUUUGAAAACUGUAAAGGGUCAGAAUAUGCCAAGAGAUGAAAAUAUGCCUGGAGAUCAAAAUAUGAUGUACAAUUUAUGAGUAUUCUCUACAUUAGGAAGACAUUUGCAUGACAUCACAGGCCAUUUUAGUUUACCUGGAUAUCACAUUUAACGAAACCAUAUAAGGCUAAUGGUACAUGACAUAUUGAUUGAAGUAUAGGCGUCUUGAAAGUUAUGUAAAUAAGUAUCCUGACUUGGACAAAUAGUUUUUUGAACACAUAUUUCACUUAUAA